CUACUUACCUGGCAGAGGAGAUACCAUGAUCAGGCAGGUGGUUUUCCCAGGGUGAGGCUCAUCCCUUGCACCCCGGGUGACCAUGGUGUCUGCGCUGACCACAUAAUUUGUGGUAGUGGGGGACUGCGUUUGCACUCUCCCCUG
rnacentral:snRNA from 1 species